GACGAGGAGCUUGCUCCUCUGACGUUAGCGGCGGACGGGUGAGUAACACGUGGAUAACCUACCUAUAAGACUGGGAUAACUUCGGGAAACCGGAGCUAAUACCGGAUAAUAUAUUGAACCGCAUGGUUCAAUAGUGAAAGACGGUUUUGCUGUCACUUAUAGAUGGAUCCGCGCCGCAUUAGCUAGUUGGUAAGGUAACGGCUUACCAAGGCAACGAUGCGUAGCCGACCUGAGAGGGUGAUCGGCCACACUGGAACUGAGACACGGUCCAGACUCCUACGGGAGGCAGCAGUAGGGAAUCUUCCGCAAUGGGCGAAAGCCUGACGGAGCAACGCCGCGUGAGUGAUGAAGGUCUUCGGAUCGUAAAACUCUGUUAUUAGGGAAGAACAAAUGUGUAAGUAACUAUGCACGUCUUGACGGUACCUAAUCAGAAAGCCACGGCUAACUACGUGCCAGCAGCCGCGGUAAUACGUAGGUGGCAAGCGUUAUCCGGAAUUAUUGGGCGUAAAGCGCGCGUAGGCGGUUUUUUAAGUCUGAUGUGAAAGCCCACGGCUCAACCGUGGAGGGUCAUUGGAAACUGGAAAACUUGAGUGCAGAAGAGGAAAGUGGAAUUCCAUGUGUAGCGGUGAAAUGCGCAGAGAUAUGGAGGAACACCAGUGGCGAA
rnacentral:rRNA from 1 species